GUGCUCACUUCAGCAGCACAUAUACUAAAAUUGGAACGAUACAGAGAAAAUUAGCAUGGCCCCUGUGCAAGGAUGACACGAAAAUUUCUUCACAAGUCUUCCAUGUGC